GUGUGUGUGUGUGUGUGUGUGUGUUUGUGUGAUGAAGGGUCAUACAGGAUAGAGAUUGAUAUCAAUAAAUUGUAACAACAGCACCAAAGAUAGGAUGAUAAAUGAAGGUUUUAUUUUCUGGUAAGUGUGUAGGUUACAUGAAAUAUAUGUACAUAUGAAAAUACGCAUGUUUCAUUGCAAAAUAUUUGCAAAAUUAAGCUUGGUAUGCUUAGUUCAUUAAUUAUUUUAGAUUUUAGUUAUGAUUUUCAUUAUUAUUUUUUCUUUCUUUUCAAGUUACAUAUUCCGUCUUACUGCAACAUUGUGUCUUACAGCGGAAAGUGAAAGUAACUCGACCAAGAGAGAAAAGUUUCUUCCACUAGUAGCUCCAACAAGGAGCUCGCCCACCAACUAAUGCAAGCAUGUUCUUCAGGGUCGUGCAGGAAGGAUGGUGAAAUUUUAACAUUAGCUGCGAAGAUAUUUAAGUUUAAAGGAGCCAUAUCCUUUGGCUCCACGCCGAGAAGCAACAGGUGCUGUGGUGGUAAUAAUUUCAUCAAACGUAGACUUCUUCAACGGUCCAUUAUGGAGUUUUAUAAUCAAGAACGGUGUUAGACUUAUUACUGAAUGGUAUUAGAAUUGCAUGAGAAAUAGAGGUGAGUAGGGCCAGACAUUUUCGAAGCCCGGCCCGCCCAAGCCGGACUCAAAAACCCUAUUCAAAACCCGACCCGCCCAAGCCCUAUUCAAAGCCCAACUCAAAAGCCGGGGCCCGCCCAGGUCAGGAUUUCUAAAGCCCGAGCCCGCCCAAGCCCUACGGGCUUGGGCGCUGAGAAAGCCCGCCCAGGCCCGGGCCCAUCGGGCUUAGUAGGGCUUUUUUUGUUAUGAAGUGACAAAUUAUACAAUUAAAAAAUAAAACUUGUAGAGCGCUCUCAAC